rnacentral:lncRNA from 1 species
ACAAACCUGACCGCUGCACAUUUUCUUCUCAGGUACGGGUCUUACUCCAUGAAGGAAGAUGCCGCCGGGAGGGGCACUCGCUGUCAUGAACGCUCCCAGGAGCUGUGAGGGACUGCUUGCUGCACAGCGUUUGUGGUGAUUUAUGGGAGCCAAGGCCUGCCGGAGAGGGAUGUGGAUGUUAUCAGCUCGGUGGAUUAAAUGCCCAUUUACAUUGUUAUCGACAUAUAAAUUAUCUGUGCCAAGGAGACAGAGAGCAAAAGGAUUUCUGGGGCAGUGUUGUGGCACGUGUCCCAGGAUAUGGACCCUUCUUUGCUUAAAUCUGUCCUUUGGGCUCUCAUGAAGUGAAUCUCAGACUGGCAGUAAAAACCCCAGGUCCCUGUUCUCACAAUGUCAGUGGCAGCUGCCCUCAUUGCUACUGCAGCGCUGGCAAGUAAGACUCCCAAGUCGCCUCAAAGAAGACAGCAAGACCUUUGAAGAGGCAGCGCUGAUUUCCUUGGCUGGCAGAUGUGCAUCCCUCACUUUUGCCUGGGUUAUUUUUUUCUUCUGUGGAUUUGGAUGCAUCACUGAAGAAGAACGGGGGAUUUUAUGCCUGGGAAAUGGAAUCAAUUUCUGAGUCCAGCCAACAGCAGAAAAGAAAGCCAGUUACCCAUGGACUGGAAGAUCAAAAGAGGGAGAGCAAUCAGAGCUGAGCAGCUAAUAUGUUGUUGUGGCAAGCGGUGCAGGUGUGCUGGGAGCCACGUCUUCUUAUUAGAGCCUCUUUGUCACCUGGUGUCAGAAGCUGAAGGUCAUCAAAAUGUGGGCCACCUCUAAAUCACUGUGCCGCCAACAUAACUCCUACCACCGAGCAGACUGUCUUCAGCCACUGGAGCCCAAAAUAGAACCUAAUGGAUUUAGGAAGCAAUCAAUGCUGUCAGUGCUUCUGAAGACAUUUGUGGGUUGUAGCCUAUAAAAUAUUAAUUCUUUCUAUUUGUCUUUAAGAAUAUAUUUUAUGUGUUAAUGCAUUAUUGAAAGAUGCUUUAAUGUUAAGUGACUUUUUAAGACCCAAGAUUCAAACAGCUAAGUUUAUUUUUCUUUAGGAUAUUAAUGUAAAAUAUAAAGACAAAAGCAGAUCCCACUGACCGUACCAGUAGCCAUGCAUUGACAAGCAGGAAAUCAAACUGUAAAAUUCAAGUUGUUUUAUUCAUGUUUUGAUGGGCAAAUAAAUAACUUAUGUAUAGCAUUUCCCAUCUAAUGAAAUGUUUUACUGUUGGAUUUAUUGGGCACAUUUAUGAAAUCACAACUGUGCAGCUCUGCUUUAUUUGGCCUUAAUGACAUGAAGGCCAGGGAGGACUGUGGAUCUUCAGUGUCCAGAGUGAAGUGUGGACGGAGGAGGUAUCGCAAAUCAAAGGGUAAUCGGGAAGACACACAGAAAAUCGUUGAAGACUGACUCAGAAUUCAUCUUCUACUCAAGGACCACUGUGUAUACAUUUGUCUCCUUCCAUGCAUGAACACUGUAUACUGGUACAAAAGUACACAGUAUAUUUCUUGUUUUAUUUCACAGAAAAUGAAGUUCUACAAGGCAUGAUUUACUGCACUUUUAGGGGCCACAAACCACUUAAAUUUCCUGUGACUGUGGUGCCACACUGAAGAAGCAUGUCCACAUGCACACGAAGUUCUUCCUGUGGUUUCUGAGGGUCCUUUCCUCCCUGUGUGAGACAGCUGGGCUCCGGUCUAGUCCGGUGGUCUUGCUUUUCAUCCAAGAUUCUGAGGUUUAAAGGAGUGAUGACCCUGCCAGUGUCACUCAGUUCCUGAUACCUCAUCCCAAUACCCCCUCUCUACACAGUAAGCAGGUGCCAGCAAGGUGGCCAGCAGUGUGGGCUCCUGAGCUCAAAUCCAGAUUUGCUACUCACUGGCCUUGAGCAACUUACUUAGCUUUGUGUGCCAAAAUGUCUUUGUGUAUUUCCUUCACUGUCUGCUUCUUUUUCCCCCUCAUUGCACUCAUAAUGUAAUUCAUAAAACAUUUAAAUAUUCUGGCUGUUCUUUGUUGUUUGUUUUUUGUUUUUAGCUUAUUUGAGGGU